UUCCUACGGGAGGCAGCAGUGGGGGAUAUUGCACAAUGGGGGAAACCCUGAUGCAGCGACGCCGCGUGAGUGAAGAAGUAUUUGGGUACGUAAAGCUCUAUCAGCAGGGAAGAAUAAUGACGGUACCCGACCAAGAAGCCCCGGCUAACUACGUGCCAGCAGCCGCGGUAAUACGUAGGGGGCGAGCGUUAUCCGGAAUUACUGGGUGUAAAGGGAGCGUAGACGGCGAGGUAAGCCUGAAGUGGAAGCCCGCGGCCCAACCGCGGAACUGCUUUGGGAACUGUUUUGCUGGAGUAUGGGAGGGG
rnacentral:rRNA from 1 species